UACGUAGGGGGCAAGCGUUGUCCGGAAUCAUUGGGCGUAAAGAGCGCGUAGGCGGCCCAGUAAGUCCGCUCUGAAAGUCAGGGGCUCAACCCCUGGAUGCGGGUGGAUACUGCUGGGCUAGAGUCCGGAAGAGGUGAGUGGAAUUCCUGGUGUAGCGGUGAAAUGCGCAGAGUAUCAGGAGGAACACCAAUUGCGAAGGCAGCUCGCUGGGACGUAACUGACGCUGAGACGCGAAAGCGUGGGGAGCAAACAGG
rnacentral:rRNA from 1 species